GGCUCAGAGCGAACGCUGGCGGCAGGCUUAACACAUGCAAGUCGAGCGGGCGUAGCAAUACGUCAGCGGCAGACGGGUGAGUAACGCGUGGGAACGUACCUUUGGUUCGGAACAACACAGGGAAACUUGUGCUAAUACCGGAUAAGCCCUUACGGGAAAGAUUUAUCGCCGAAAGAUCGGCCCGCGUCUGAUUAGCUAGUUGGUAGGGUAAUGGCCUACCAAGGCGACGAUCAGUAGCUGGUCUGAGAGGAUGAUCAGCCACAUUGGGACUGAGACACGGCCCAAACUCCUACGGGAGGCAGCAGUGGGGAAUAUUGGACAAUGGGGGCAACCCUGAUCCAGCCAUGCCGCGAGAGUGAUGAAGGCCCUAGGGUUGUAAAGCUCUUUUGUGCGGGAAGAUAAUGACGGUACCGCAAGAAUAAGCCCCGGCUAACUUCGUG
rnacentral:rRNA from 1 species